GGUCCUGUUGCCGUCAGGGAAGGCCCCGGACUGUCUAUCCGGGAAGGCGGGUUCGAGUCCCGUCAGGACCG
rnacentral:tRNA from 1 species